GAACUACAACUCUAACUGGCUUUAGCAAUGAAGAAAAUUUCUGGUUUCACAUCCUUCAAGGGUCCAGAGGUAGCUACAGAUUCAGGAGACAUGCACCAGGAGGAGCUGGCGAGUUUCCUUGGCAAGAACAGAUGAAUAAAUAAGAAGCAUGAGCAUGCGACUUUUAGCUGAGAUCUCCUCUCCACAGUUCUCCUCUGUGUGCUGUUCCUGGAGAUUGGCUUUUAUGGACCACAUCAAUGAGAUUCAUUGCUUUAUGCCGUCCCACUGGAUUUAGCCAACAGGAAGUGCUGUUUAAAAACUUGGAGAGUGGGGUGGGAGAGUCAUUUCAGGGUUUUCAUUUUCCUGAGCCAGGCUCCCUUUCUCCUGGCUCAUUACAUAUUAACAUCAUUUCUUUCCCAAAUGCUGUAGCUCCCAUCAGAAAGCCCUCUCCAGAUUCUAUUAACCUCGCUAUUCCCUUUUAGGCCUAACAGGAUAACAACUCUAGUCUGUUGCUAGUCCCGUGGGCUUCACUAUGCUUCAUUUGCUUGAUUCUCCCAUACAUUUGUAAGUAGUCCCUCAAUAAAGUC